rnacentral:rRNA from 1 species
GACGUAGGGCGCAAGCGUUAUCCGGAAUUAUUGGGCGUAAAGAGCUCGUAGGCGGUUUGUCGCGUCUGCCGUGAAAGUCCGGGGCUCAACUCCGGAUCUGCGGUGGGUACGGGCAGACUAGAGUGAUGUAGGGGAGACUGGAAUUCCUGGUGUAGCGGUGAAAUGCGCAGAUAUCAGGAGGAACACCGAUGGCGAAGGCAGGUCUCUGGGCAUUAACUGACGCUGAGGAGCGAAAGCAUGGGGAGCGAACAGG